CAACCACAACACAACAUAAAGUUAAAGGUCUUUGAAAACGUUAUACGUCCCCUUUCUUAAUUUCCAUUUUUUUUUUAAAUAAAAGAAAUUUCUCUCAUAUAUAUCUCUAUCAUGUGAUUAUCAUUAAUAACCAUCCAUAACAACUUUAAUUCCCUCUGAAAAUUUGGUUUGAUGAUUUAGAUAUAUACUAUACUCUCCACCUUCCAAUUUUCGGUUGGUUCAAUAAUCUUUAGGGAUCCAGAACUUGCUUUUCUUUACUACUGUAUUAUUUUUUCUUUCUCUUUCUUGCCCUUUGUGUUUUCUAAAAGACCAAUACCCUUUAGAAGAGUGAGAAUUUUAAGUCUUCUUUUCUUUCCUCUUGAGUCAAUUCUUGAGAAAAUCUUUGAGAUCCAAGAGUUUUGAUAAACAAAAACCAAAUCCAGAUACCCUUUGAUCUAAAGUAUAAAACUUUGUUUCUGGUUCCAGAAUUCUUCUUUUGGGUGUGCCUCCUUGAUCAUCAUCAUCAGAAGCUUUUUGAGGAAAAUAAGAAAAGAAGCACACAAAAAAAUGCUGCAGUUUUUCUUCUCUGUGGCUUUUUCUGCCAUCCCUUUAACACUUUAUAUUCCACCACUCAGAAGCUUGAAUCUUUUUGUUGAAACCAUGGAAGACAUGGUGAGAGAAUCAAGAAUUCACACCAACAGGGUUUACCCUCGACUUCGUGUAGCUUGGUUAAGGAUCAUGGAUUGUGUUCUUUGCAACAACGCAAGCUAGAAGACUUUUUCACGAGGAAGAAUAAUGGCUUCUGAUUUGAACAAGGUUUGGUAUUUUUUUUUGUCUGAUACAAAGGAUUUGGUAUGCUGAUCCUAAGUUUUGUUUUUCCACAAGAAAUUGAAAAUGAGAUGUGAAUACUUUGUUUGGAUUGAUGAA